rnacentral:rRNA from 1 species
AGAUUGAACGCUGGCGGCAUGCCUUACACAUGCAAGUCGAACGGCAGCACGAAGGAGCUUGCUCUUUUGGUGGCGAGUGGCGAACGGGUGAGUAAUAUAUCGGAACGUACCCAAGAGUGGGGGAUAACGUAGCGAAAGUUACGCUAAUACCGCAUACGAUCUAAGGAUGAAAGCAGGGGACCGCAAGGCCUCAUGCUCCUGGAGCGGCCGAUAUCUGAUUAGCUAGUUGGUGAGGUAAAGGCUCACCAAGGCAUCGAUCAGUAGCUGGUCUGAGAGGACGACCAGCCACACUGGAACUGAGACACGGUCCAGACUCCUACGGGAGGCAGCAGUGGGGAAUUUUGGACAAUGGGGGCAACCCUGAUCCAGCAAUGCCGCGUGAGUGAAGAAGGCCUUCGGGUUGUAAAGCUCUUUUGUCAGGGAAGAAACGGUGAAGGCUAAUAUCCUUUGCUAAUGACGGUACCUGAAGAAUAAGCACCGGCUAACUACGUGCCAGCAGCCGCGGUAAUACGUAGGGUGCAAGCGUUAAUCGGAAUUACUGGGCGUAAAGCGUGCGCAGGCGGUUUUGUAAGACUGUCGUGAAAUCCCCGGGCUCAACCUGGGAAUGGCGAUGGUGACUGCAAGGCUAGAGUUUGGCAGAGGGGGGUAGAAUUCCACGUGUAGCAGUGAAAUGCGUAGAUAUGUGGAGGAACACCGAUGGCGAAGGCAGCCCCCUGGGUCAAAACUGACGCUCAUGCACGAAAGCGUGGGGAGCAAACAGGAUUAGAUACCCUGGUAGUCCACGCCCUAAACGAUGUCUACUAGUUGUCGGGUCUUAAUUGACUUGGUAACGCAGCUAACGCGUGAAGUAGACCGCCUGGGGAGUACGGUCGCAAGAUUAAAACUCAAAGGAAUUGACGGGGACCCGCACAAGCGGUGGAUGAUGUGGAUUAAUUCGAUGCAACGCGAAAAACCUUACCUACCCUUGACAUGGCAGGAAUCCUGAAGAGAUUUGGGAGUGUCGAAAGAAACCUGCACACAGGUGCUGCAUGGCUGUCGUCAGCUCGUGUCGUGAGAUGUUGGGUUAAGUCCCGCAACGAGCGCAACCCUUGUCAUUAGUUGCUAGCAUGGCACUUGAGCACUCUAAUGAGACUGCCGGUGACAAACCGGAGGAAGGUGGGGAUGACGUCAAGUCCUCAUGGCCCUUAUGGGUAGGGCUUCACACGUCAUACAAUGGUACAUACAGAGGGCCGCCAACCCGCGAGGGGGAGCUAAUCCCAGAAAGUGUAUCGUAGUCCGGAUUGUAGUCUGCAACUCGACUGCAUGAAGUUGGAAUCGCUAGUAAUCGCGGAUCAGCAUGUCGCGGUGAAUACGUUCCCGGGUCUUGUACA